rnacentral:rRNA from 1 species
AGUGAACGCUGGCGGUAUGCCUAACACAUGCAAGUCGAACGGCAGCACCGUAAGAGCUUGCUCUUACGUGCGGCAAGUGGCGGACCCGUGCGUAAUACACCGGAAUCUACUUUUUCGUGGGGGAUAACGUCGGGAAACUUCCGCUAAUCCAGCAUACGACCCACUGGUGAAAGCCGGCGAUCUUCGAACCUUUCGCGAUUGAAUGAGCCGAUGUCGGAUUAGCUCGUUGGCGGGGCAAAGGCACACCAAGGCCACCAUCCGUAGCUGGUCUGAGAGCAUGUUCAGCCACACUGUCAGUGAGAAACAUGACAGACUCCUGCGGGAGGCAGCAGUGGAGAAUAUUGGACGAGGGGGGCGAGCCUAAUCCAGCCAUACCGGGUAGGUGAAGAAGGCCUUCGGGUUGGAAAGCCAUGAAGGUGGGAGAGAAAAGCAGCAGGUUUAUACCCCGCUAUUCUGACGGUACCCAAAGAAUAAGCACCGGCUAACUUCGUG